GACGAACGCUGGCGGCGUGCUUAACACAUGCAAGUCGAGCGGUAAGGCCCUUUGGGGUACACGAGCGGCGAACGGGUGAGUAACACGUGAGUAAUCUGCCUUUGGCUUGGGAAUAACUUCGGGAAAUCGGGGCUAAUGCCUGAUGUUUACUGUCUGCUGCAUGGUGGGUGGUGGAAAGAUUUUUUGGCCAGGGAUGAGCUCGCGGUCUAUCAGCUUGUUGGUGGGGUAAGUGGCUACCUAAGGCUUUGACGGGUAGCCGGCCUGAGAGGGUGUUCGGCCACACUGGGACUGAGACACGGCCCAGACUCCUACGGGAGGCAGCAGUGGGGAAUAUUGCGCAAUGGGCGUAAGCCUGACGCAGCGACGCCGCGUGGGGAGUGAAGGCC
rnacentral:rRNA from 1 species